rnacentral:rRNA from 1 species
CUCCUACGGGAGGCAGCAGUGGGGAAUAUUGGACAAUGGGGGGAACCCUGAUCCAGCCAUGCCGCGUGUGUGAAGAAGGCCUUAUGGUUGUAAAGCACUUUAAGCGAGGAGGAGGCUACUGAGACUAAUACUCUUGGAUAGUGGACGUUACUCGCAGAAUAAGCACCGGCUAACUCUGUGCCAGCAGCCGCGGUAAUACAGAGGGUGCGAGCGUUAAUCGGAUUUACUGGGCGUAAAGCGUGCGUAGGCGGCUUUUUAAGUCGGAUGUGAAAUCCCCGAGCUUAACUUGGGAAUUGCAUUCGAUACUGGGAAGCUAGAGUAUGGGAGAGGAUGGUAGAAUUCCAGGUGUAGCGGUGAAAUGCGUAGAGAUCUGGAGGAAUACCGAUGGCGAAGGCAGCCAUCUGGCCUAAUACUGACGCUGAGGUACGAAAGCAUGGGGAGCAAACAGGAUUAGAUACCCCAGUAGUCCAAGCCGAAUUC